rnacentral:rRNA from 1 species
UCAAGUCAGAUUGUGAAAUACCGAGGCUUACUUCGGGCUGCAUCUGAACUGAGUUUCUGAGUGUCGAGAGAAAGUGAAUCCCAGUGUAGCGUGAAAUGCGUAGAUAUUGGGAGGACACCAGUGGCGAAGGCGACUUUCUGGACGAUAACUGACGCUGAGGCGCGAAAGCGUGGGGAGCAAACAGGAUUAGAUACCUGGUAGUCACGCCGUAAACGAUGGAUACUAGGUGUGGGAGGUAUCGACCCCUUCCGUGCCGCAGUUAACACAAUAAGUAUCCCACCUGGGGAGUACGGCCGCAAGGUUGAAACUCAAAGGAAUUGACGGGGGCCCGCACAAGCAGUGGAGUAUGUGGUUUAAUUCGAAGCAACGCGAAGAACCUUACCAGGGCUUGACAUGCAGGUGAAUAAGUAAGAGAUUACUUAGUCUUUCGGGACACCUGUGCAGGUGGUGCAUGGUUGUCGUCAGCUCGUGUCGUGAGAUGUUGGGUUAAGUCCCGCAACGAGCGCAACCCUUGUUGUUAGUUGCCAUCAUUAAGUUGGGCACUCUAACGAGACUGCCGGUGACAAAUCGGAGGAAGGUGGGGACGACGUCAAAUCAUCGUGCCCCUUAUGUCCUGGGCUACACACGUACUACAAUGGCUAUUAACAGCAGGGAGCUAAGGAGUAAUCCGGAGCAAAUCCUCAAAAAUAGUCCCAGUUCGAAUUGUGGGCUGCAACCCGCCCACAUGAAGUCGGAAUUGCUAGUAAUGGCAGGUCAGCAUACUGCCGUGAAUACGUUCCCGGGCCUUGUACACACCGCCCGUCACACCAUGAGAGUCUGCAACACCCGAAGUCAGUAGUUUAACCAGUAAUGGAGAGCGCUGCCGAAGGUGGGGCCGAUGAUUGGGGUGAAGUCGUAACAAGGUAACC